rnacentral:rRNA from 1 species
GACGUAGGGCGCGAGCGUUGUCCGGAUUUAUUGGGCGUAAAGAGCUCGUAGGCGGCUUGUCGCGUUCGACCGUGAAAACUCGCAGCUCAACUGCGAGCCUGCGGUCGAUACGGGCAGGCUAGAGUUCGGUAGGGGAGACUGGAAUUCCUGGUGUAGCGGUGAAAUGCGCAGAUAUCAGGAGGAACACCGAUGGCGAAGGCAGGUCUCUGGGCCGAUACUGACGCUGAGGAGCGAAAGCGUGGGGAGCGACAGG